GACGAACGCUGGCGGCGCGCUUAACACAUGCAAGUCGAGCGAUGAAACUUUAACAGAACCCUUCGGGGCGAAGAUAAAGUGGAUUAGCGGCCGACGGUUGAGUAACACGUGAGUAACCUGCCUUAGACAUUGGGAUAGCCUCGGGAAACCGGGAUUAAUACCAAAUAAAAUCAUAAUGACACAUGUCAUUACUAUCAAAACUCCGGUGGUCUAAGAUGGACUCGCGUCCCAUUAGCUAGUUGGUAGAGUAAAAGCCUACCAAGGCGACGAUGGGUAGCCGGCCUGAGAGGGUGAACGGCCACAUUGGAACUGAGAAACGGUCCAAACUCCUACGGGAGGCAGCAGUGGGGAAUAUUGCACAAUGGAGGGAACUCUGAUGCAGCGACGCCGCGUGAACGAAGAAGGCUUUCGAGUCGUAAAGUUCUUUUAUAUGGGAAGAUAAUGACGGUACCAGAAGAAAAAGCCCCGGCUAACUACGUG
rnacentral:rRNA from 1 species